UACGUAGGGUGCGAGCGUUAAUCGGAAUUACUGGGCGUAAAGCGUGCGCAGGCGGUCCGUCGUGUCCGAUGUGAAAGCCCCGGGCUCAACCUGGGAAUGGCAUUUGGGACUGCAAGGCUUGAGUGCGGCAGAGGAGACUGGAAUUCCUGGUGUAGCAGUGAAAUGCGUAGAUAUCAGGAGGAAUACCGAUGGCGAAGGCAGGUCUCUGGGCUGACACUGACGCUCAUGCACGAAAGCGUGGGGAGCAAACAGG
rnacentral:rRNA from 1 species